rnacentral:rRNA from 1 species
GGGGGAUAUUGCACAAUGGGGGAAACCCUGAUGCAGCGACGCCGCGUGGAGGAAGAAGGUUUUCGGAUUGUAAACUCCUGUCGUUAGGGACGAUAAUGACGGUACCUAACAAGAAAGCACCGGCUAACUACGUGCCAGCAGCCGCGGUAAAACGUAGGGUGCAAGCGUUGUCCGGAAUUACUGGGUGUAAAGGGAGCGCAGGCGGGAAGACAAGUUGGAAGUGAAAACCAUGGGCUCAACCCAUGAAUUGCUUUCAAAACUGUUUUUCUUGAGUAGUGCAGAGGUAGAUGGAAUUCCCGGUGUAGCGGUGGAAUGCGUAGAUAUCGGGAGGAACACCAGUGGCGAAGGCGGUCUACUGGGCACCAACUGACGCUGAGGCUCGAAAGCAUGGGUAGCAAACAGGAUUAGAUACCCUGGUAGUCCAUGCCGUAAACGAUGAUUACUAGGUGUUGGGGGAUUGACCCCCUCAGUGCCGCAGUUAACACAAUAAGUAAUCCACCUGGGGAGUACGACCGCAAGGUUGAAACUCAAAGGAAUUGACGGGGGCCCGCACAAGCAGUGGAGUAUGUGGUUUAAUUCGAAGCAACGCGAAGAACCUUACCAGGUCUUGACAUCCGAUGCAUAGCACAGAGAUGUGUGAAAUCCUUCGGGACAUCGAGACAGGUGGUGCAUGGUUGUCGUCAGCUCGUGUCGUGAGAUGUUGGGUUAAGUCCCGCAACGAGCGCAACCCUUAUUGCCAGUUACUACGUUAAGAGGACUCUGGCGAGACUGCCGUUGACAAAACGGAGGAAGGUGGGGAUGACGUCAAAUCAUCAUGCCCUUUAUGACCUGGGCUACACACGUACUACAAUGGCGUUAAACAAAGAGAAGCAAGACCGCGAGGUGGAGCAAAACUCAAAAACAACGUCUCAGCUCAGAUUGCAGGCUGCAACUCGCCUGCAUGAAGUCGGAAUUGCUAGUAAUCGCGGAUCAGCAUGCCGCGGUGAAUACGUUCCCG